rnacentral:rRNA from 1 species
AAAGGUGUCGAUGGCGACGGUGAUCCACCUCUUCCCAUCCCGAACAGAGAAGUUAAGCCCGUCAGCGCCGAUGGUACUGCCCCCCCGGGUGGGAGAGUAGGUCGAUGCCGAAU